rnacentral:lncRNA from 1 species
AUCUGAGAGUGUCAAGAACUAUAAAUCAUGCAAGUUAAAUUACUGCUCAUCAGAGAGAAGCUUGCUUAUGUACUAUGGCUCAGAAGAGUAGUUGAAGUUGGUUGCUAAGGCAGCAGUGGGUCAGAGAAUGUUUACAGAACCUGUUCUCAACAGCUAAGGACAAGGACAAAUAAGUGGGACACUUUGAGUGAUGCCCCAAGUAUCAGUUAAUGGGCAUUUCCUUUGUAUUUCUUAGGAAACUGCACUCUGAGUCAGUCAGAAGCAGAAGCCCCAAGUCACCAAAAUGACAGAGUGUGAGGAGGAAAAGGGGAGCAAGUCCUCUGGAAAUGGACAAAAAUGAGGACUCAGCCUAAAAAAUUACAAAACUGGAUUUGGCAGAUUAUAGAAAACUUUAGCAAAGCCUCGUCUAGACUGUCCGUUGGCAGAAGUAAAGCUGCACAUCUUCUUCCAGUCUGGAUCAAAUGUGUCAAAACAACAGCACUAUCCAGCACCAACUACAUCUUCUCUCCCUGAGUAAGUGAAUAUUUUACAGAGAAAACUUCCAAUUCCUGCAUGAGUAAUCUCAGUUGACACUUACCUGGUCACACUGCUUCAUGAUUAGUAUUUCAAGAAAAAAAGAAAAUUCUGCCAUAUGUGACAACAUGGAUGAAACUUGAAGACUUCAUGCUUAGUGAAAUAAGCCAGUCACAGAAUGACAAAUACUCCAUGAUUCCACCUAUAUGAGGUACCGAAAAUAGUCAACGUAAUAGAAUCAAAGGUGGGAUGGUGGUUGCCAGGGGCUGGUGGUAGAGAGAAAUGGGGAAUUAAUAAUCAAACGGCAUAAAGUUUCAGCUAAGCAAGAUGAGUACAUUCUAGACAUUUUCUGUAGAACAUUGUACCUAUAGUCAGCAAUAAUAUAUUGUACACUUAAAAAUUUUUUAAGAGGGUGAAAAAAUGGCACUGCUAUUUCCAGUGCUCAACUCUAUGGAUUAUAAUAAACUGAGGAAGUUUAAAACCUAAGAUAAAAAG